rnacentral:rRNA from 1 species
GACGAACGCUCGCGGCGUGCUUAACACAUGCAAGUCGAACGGAAAGGCCCUGCUUUUGUGGGGUGCUCGAGUGGCGAACGGGUGAGUCACUCGUGAGUUACCUGCCCUUGACCCUGGGAUAACUUCAGGAAACUGGGGCUAAUACCGGAUAGGAGCUCCUGCUGCAUGGUGGGGGUUGGAAAGUUUCGGCGGUUGGGGAUGGGCUUGCGGCUUAUCAGCUUGUUGGUGGGGUAGUGGCUUACCAAGGCUUUGACGGGUAGCCGGCCUGAGAGGGGGACCGGCCAAAGUGGGACUGAGAUACGGCCCAGAGUCGUACGGGAGGCAGCAGUGGGGAAUAUUGCACGAUGGGCGGAAGCCUGAUGCAGCAACGCCGCAUGCGGGAUGACGGCCUUCUGGUUUUAGACCACUUUCGCCUGUGACGAUGCGUGAGUGACGGUAAUGGGUAAAGAAGCACCGGCUAACUACGUG